rnacentral:tRNA from 1 species
GGAGGUGUAGCUCAAGGGUAGAGAACUUGUCUAUUAUGCACGAGGCCCUGGGUUCAAUCCCCAGUACUGCCA